CUUGAACCAGGUGGUGUGGUCAUACUCCUCACCAGGCCUCAGCAGCACAGGAGGGAAGCGGGGCUGUGAAGGGGAAACAACACAGAAAGAUACAAUCUGAGAAGCAACCCUGCAGGACUUGGCUGAAAGUCAACAGGCGGCUGAUCAAAUGAAGCAAUAGAAGCUGUGUAAUUUGUCACAUCAAGCACCUGCGACAAACCCACGCACAAUCCGAGGAAUGCUGGAAAAACGCAAUGAUCUACUCUGGUGGAAUAUUACUGUUGGAAUCAUUUCCUUUCAAGGCUGAUGAAAACUUGGCAAGAAAUGCUGAUUCACAAACAGACCUUGAGGCCCAUCUCUGGGUUCAGUGUUUGUUUUGGUUAACUUUGCUUGGCUGCUACCUGUUUGUAACAUUAACCAUUUAUAGAGCCCAUUAUGAUUUGCAGGGGACUUUAAAGACAUUGUGCAAUAUCACUACCACAGCCUUAACUCAGCUCUCAUCACCUCUAGCAGGAGGGUACAGACACUGUGGGUUACUACCCACAAGCCAUGGCAACUCUUUUACCAGCAACUCUGUGCCCCCAGGCAGAAACUAGGCUUGUUGAUUUAUCCUAUGCUAGACCAGAUAUUCAGGGAAGAGGACCCACCCCCGCUCCAUUUCCAGAGGGCAAAUUUUGACUGGUCUAAGCCAAUCAUCAUGGCCUAAUUCCCUUGCUGGCGAUUGGGUUAGGCAGAGCAUAGGCCACACUUCUGGCCAAUGAGAAAUCAGAGAAAGUUGGCUGGAGGGCUUCUAGGAAAAGCAUUGCUUUUUCUUAAAAAGAGGACAUUAGAGAUAUGAAAAAUGGAAUGGGUCUUUUUGUCUCUGGAUGUGACUAUAUGAGGAGGUGAUUCCUGGAGCUGUGGCCAUGAGGGGACAAGCCUGAAGACAAAAGCCAAAAUACUGAGGAAGCAGAUGGAAAACUGGAAGAACCUGGGUCCUUAAUGACAUGUCUACCUGUCAUGUACCACAUGCUAUUGCUUUUCAUCUCGAAUUCCCCCAGACCUGCUUUCAUAACUCUUUCGGUAAAGUUUCUGUUGUUUUUUUGUUUGUUUGUUUUUAUUGUUUAUAAAAACACAGUCUCACUGUGUCAUCCAAGAUGGAGUCCAGUGGCGCAAUCUUGGCUCACUGCAACCUCCGUCUCCUGGGUUCAAGCAAUUCUCAUGCCUCGGCCUCCUGAUUAGCUGGGAUUGCAGGCAUCUACCACAACGCCCAGCUAAUUUUUUGUAUUUUUAGUGGAGACGGGUUUUUACCAUGUUGGGCAGGUUGGUCUUGAACUCCUGACCUCAAGUGAUCUGCCCACCUUGGCCUCCCAAGUGCUGGGAUUACAGGCGUGAGCUGCCGCACCCAGCCUGUUUGUUUGUUUUUAGAGAUGGGGGAUCUCUCUAUGUUGCCCGGUCUGGUCUUGAACUCCUGGGCUCCAGUGAUGCUCCCACCUUGGCCUUCCAAAGUGCUGGGAUUACAGGCAUGAGCCACCACACCCAGGUCUUUAGGUAAAGUUUCAAUAAAAAAAAAGUUAUCCCAGUUUUGUGUUAGGCACAGGAAGGAACAGAAAAAUAAAAUAAAACAAAAAACGACCUGCAACCUACAUACCUUUUAUAUUCUUUGACAAAGCCAGUUCUCCCCUCCUCCCCAGGUCUCCAACCCUCAAACUUAGAAGUGAUGAGCAAUACUUGGGCCCAAAUAGAACAAAAAUACCACUUAUUAAAUUUAAAAAACAAACAAAAAUAUAUAAGAUGAGCUGACUAAUUUAAAUAUCAGGUUUUGAGCUAUGUGCCUGGGGAGGGUUUGAGAUAUAUGAUAAUGCUUCUCAAGGUAUGGCAAGAGAUAUUCUGAAGAUGCAGAGGCCCUUGACUCCAGGUCUGGCUUGGUGAUCAUCCACUCCUACCGGAGUGCCUUGGAAGGCUGGUGCCCCCAUCCACCUUCAAACCUGAAGUUAGUGGCUGUGGAUUCAAGCUACGCUUACUAAGAUAGAGGUUGAAAAUCCCUAAUCUG